rnacentral:rRNA from 1 species
UACGUAGGUGGCAAGCGUUAUCCGGAUUUAUUGGGCGUAAAGCGAGCGCAGGCGGUCUUUUAAGUCUGAUGUGAAAGCCUUCGGCUUAACCGGAGUAGUGCAUUGGAAACUGGGAGACUUGAGUGCAGAAGAGGAGGGUGGAACUCCAUGUGUAGCGGUGAAAUGCGUAGAUAUAUGGAAGAACACCAGUGGCGAAAGCGGCUCUCUGGUCUGUAACUGACGCUGAGGUUCGAAAGCGUGGGUAGCAAACAGG